rnacentral:rRNA from 1 species
UGCAUGGAGCCAACCUUGAAAUACCACCCUGGCAACUUUGAGGUUCUAACUCAGGUCCGUUAUCCGGAUCGAGGACAGUGUAUGGUGGGUAGUUUGACUGGGGCGGUCUCCUCCUAAAGAGUAACGGAGGAGUACGAAGGUGCGCUCAGACCGGUCGGAAAUCGGUCGUAGAGUAUAAAGGCAAAAGCGCGCUUGACUGCGAGACAGACACGUCGAGCAGGUACGAAAGUAGGUCUUAGUGAUCCGGUGGUUCUGUAUGGAAGGGCCAUCGCUCAACGGAUAAAAGGUACUCCGGGGAUAACAGGCUGAUACCGCCCAAGAGUUCAUAUCGACGGCGGUGUUUGGCACCUCGAUGUCGGCUCAUCACAUCCUGGGGCUGAAGCCGGUCCCAAGGGUAUGGCUGUUCGCCAUUUAAAGUGGUACGCGAGCUGGGUUUAGAACGUCGUGAGACAGUUCGGUCCCUAUCUGCCGUGGACGUUUGAGAUUUGAGAGGGGCUGCUCCUAGUACGAGAGGACCGGAGUGGACGAACCUCUGGUGUUCCGGUUGUCACGCCAGUGGCAUUGCCGGGUAGCUAUGUUCGGGAAAGAUAACCGCUGAAAGCAUCUAAGCGGGAAACUUGCCUCAAGAUGAGAUCUCACUGGAACCUUGAGUUCCCUAAAGGGCCGUCGAAGACUACGACGUUGAUAGGUUGGGUGUGUAAGCGCUGUGAGGCGUUGAGCUAACCAAUACUAAUUGCCCGUGAGGCUUGACCAU